rnacentral:rRNA from 1 species
AACUGCAACUUAUGCCAGCUUUGCAAGAGGGAGCCGGAGACCGUGGCGCAUCUCCUCUACAAAUGUAGGUUCUCCACUCGAAUUUGGAAUGCGGUCAAAUUGGUGGAUGUGCCAGACUUGGAUGUAGUGACAUGGGCAGGAAUACCAUCUAUCAAUGAGUGGUGGACUUUGGUGGUUCUCACCCAUGGUCAUAGGUGGAAAGUGGUGUCUUCUCUUAUCAUGCUUGUUUCAUGGGAGGUCUGGAAAGAGAGAAAAGCGGGAGUUUUUCAACACACAUGUAGGUUGGCAACUGUGGUGGUCAGAGGCAUUAAGGCGGAGGUGAAAAACUGGAUCAUUGCCAGGGCUAGGCACUUGGGUUCUUUGAUGCCGCGGGAGUAG